rnacentral:rRNA from 1 species
UAAACUAGGAUUAGAUACCCUAUUAAUUUAGAAUGUUAAUUGUUUUGCUUGAGUAGUAUUAGUUAUGUUCUUGAAACUUAAAGAAUUUGGCGGUAUCUCAUUCCGUCCAGAGGAAUCUGUCCCGUUAUCGAUAGUCCGCGUUGGACCUUACUUAGAUUGCUUGGGUUUGUAUACCGCCGUUUAUUGAUUAUCUUUUUAGAGUUUUUAAUUUUCUGGUUUCUUUAUUUUGGUUUAUUUCAGGUCAAGGUGCAGCUUGUUUCUAAGUGGAUUGAUGGAUUACAUUGUUAUUUGUUUAUGGAUUGUUGAUUUCAAUAUUGGCAUGAAAUUGGAUUUGGUUGUAAUUAUUUGUAGAUUGUUAUUAUGAUAAUAGGUUCUGGGAUAUGCACACAUCGCCCGUCGCUCUCGUUUUUUUAAUGAGAUAAGUCGUAACAUAGUA